rnacentral:tRNA from 1 species
UCCCCAGUGGCUCAGAUGGUAAAGAAUCUGCCUGCAGUGCAGGAGACCCAGGUUCGAUCCCUGACUUGGGAA